rnacentral:lncRNA from 1 species
GUACUCAAACGAAGUUACUCUGUUGCAACGGAUACCCCCGAGGACUCCGGAAGAGUCAGGCCAAAAAUUAAUGGAAAUCCAUUAGAAAUUUCAAAUUUUAAGCAAGUCGAUGUUAUUCGAAAUCAUUCAGGAGAUGACAAGAAAUUUUCAGAUGUUCCCGUUUUAGGGACCAACAAUUUAACAUAUUCUAAUAUUAUUUUAAUUGUUGGGAGUGUCGAUGAAAAAAUAGGCAUACCUAACAAACCUUCAGCUGGUGAUGACAUAAAAACCUAUGAUUCAGAAUUUUUAAACCCAUGUACCAAUAAGGUAAAGUGUCUAGUCACAUCUUAA